rnacentral:rRNA from 1 species
CCUACGGGUGGCAGCAGUGGGGAAUAUUGGACAAUGGGCGAAAGCCUGAUCCAGCCAUGCCGCGUGUGUGAAGAAGGCCUUCGGGUUGUAAAGCACUUUCAGUGGGGAAGAAAGCCUUGGGGCUAAUACCCUCGAGGAAGGACAUCACCCACAGAAGAAGCACCGGCUAACUCCGUGCCAGCAGCCGCGGUAAUACGGAGGGUGCGAGCGUUAAUCGGAAUUACUGGGCGUAAAGCGCGCGCAGGCGGUCUGAUAAGCCGGUUGUGAAAGCCCCGGGCUCAACCUGGGAACGGCAUCCGGAACUGUCAGGCUAGAGUGCAGGAGAGGAAGGUAGAAUUCCCGGUGUAGCGGUGAAAUGCGUAGAGAUCGGGAGGAAUACCAGUGGCGAAGGCGGCCUUCUGGACUGACACUGACGCUGAGGUGCGAAAGCGUGGGUAGCAAACAGGAUUAGAUACCCCGGUAGUC